AGCGGAGGAACGAUGUGGUUUAAUUCGAUGAUACGCGAGGAACCUUACCCGGGCUUGAAUUGCAGAGGAAGGAUUUGGAGACAAUGACGCCCUUCGGGGUCUCUGUGAAGGUGCUGCAUGGUUGUCGUCAGCUCGUGCCGUGAGGUGUCGGCUUAAGUGCCAUAACGAGCGCAACCCCUCUCCUUAGUUGCCAUCAGGUGAAGCUGGGCACUCUGGGGACACUGCCACCGUAAGGUGUGA
rnacentral:rRNA from 1 species